rnacentral:tRNA from 1 species
GGCGGGGAAGCAAGUUAGCGGAUGCUAACCCGACGAGCCUAUGCAGAACCGAGGAUUGUCGUCAAAACCCGACUUUCUUGACGCCGAUUCGUAAUCAGUAGGUCCGCGGUUCGAUUCCGCGUUCCGGCACCA